AUAUAUGUAGUUAAUAUUGUAUAAACUAAGAUUGGGCUAGGGUCACUCAAUUAGGCUAUAAUGCAUAUGGGCCAAACCACACUAAAAGAUUGAAUCCAACCAAUUAGCUAAUCUGGCCUUAUAAACCCAUAUAUUCUCUCUUAUUUUAUCAGUGUGGGACUCUUAACAGAUCACAUGCGCCAAAUGCCACCUCGA